UCAAGAAACGCUCACCAGGAUUAUGAUCAUACGGCCAUCUGCAACCAAUUCCCCGGCUGCGUGCGCGAGCCCUGUGUGCUUUCCAGUACCACGUGGGGGCGUUCUCCUCUGUCCCUUACUUUCUCUACCCCCUGCCUCCCCGACCCAAAGCUCAAGUCUGAAGGGGGAUUUCUUGCAGGGAAGCAGUGGUAUACAGAGUUCUGCAGGAAAAUGAGAGCUUCUAGUCUCUCCUUCUCCCUUCUGUGAAACAGGAGAGGAAAUCCUCCCUCCCUCUUGGGAAUUACUGAGUGUUUCUCAGACUCCAGCUGAGUCUCCAGUCCCUAGUUCCUCAGAGACCCAGAUGAAUUAAAGUUGUAAGUAAAUUAGGAAUCGUUCAUUAUUUGAUGGCUGGGAUCCUUUGGCAGGUGGAGUGGUGGAGGAGGGGAGGUGGGGCCAUCUUCCUGCUGGGCUCAAAGAUUCUCUCCGGAGAGGUGUGUUUGGCCCAGGCCAGCCCAGGGGCCUAAGAGAGAGAGCCGGCCCCCACUCCUCCUGCUCAGAAAGAUCCUUCCCACAGUCUCAGAUACCACUGUCUUCCUGGACAAUCUUGCAAGAGGCCUUUUCUCUCUCAGCCUUAGUUUUCUCAUCUGCAAAAUGUGUGAAAACUCACAACCUUUUCAUCGAGAUGGGUAACGAAAACAUGAGAAAACUGGAAGUGCUUUGGUUUGGCUCAGCUGAGGACAUUACUCCAAGCCCGCCCAGGCUCUCCCCUCCGGCCUGGAUUCGUUUCUGUGUCAACACUCGCCCAGCCUUGCACAGCCGGGCACACGGGCGUCUCCCUCUGCAGUGGUUCCCCGACUUGUCGGCCAUCUUCGCUGGUGGUGUUUUCCUUGGUCACUGUGGUUAUUUGAAAGCGAUGUCAAAGCAAACACUGCUCUCUCUCCCUGAAAACCCCUGGCAGGAGCUGCCUUUCUCACCGUCCCUGUCCUUCGUCUCCUCCUGUCCCUUCCUUCCUGCCGCAGCCUCUUCCCUCAAUC
rnacentral:lncRNA from 1 species